AAGGUUAAGCCUCACGGUUCAUUAGUACCGGUUAGCUCAACGCAUCGCUGCGCUUACACACCCGGCCUAUCAACGUCGUCGUCUUCAACGUUCCUUCAGGACCCUUAAAGGGUCAGGGAGAACUCAUCUCGGGGCAAGUUUCGUGCUUAGAUGCUUUCAGCACUUAUCUCUUCCGCAUUUAGCUACCGGGCAGUGCCAUUGGCAUGACAACCCGAACACCAGUGAUGCGUCCACUCCGGUCCUCUCGUACUAGGAGCAGCCCCCCUCAGUUCUCCAGCGCCCACGGCAGAUAGGGACCGAACUGUCUCACGACGUUCUAAACCCAGCUCGCGUACCACUUUAAAUGGCGAACAGCCAUACCCUUGGGACCUACUUCAGCCCCAGGAUGUGAUGAGCCGACAUCGAGGUGCCAAACACCGCCGUCGAUAUGAACUCUUGGGCGGUAUCAGCCUGUUAUCCCCGGAGUACCUUUUAUCCGUUGAGCGAUGGCCCUUCCAUUCAGAACCACCGGAUCACUAUGACCUGCUUUCGCACCUGCUCGCGCCGUCACGCUCGCAGUCAAGCUGGCUUAUGCCAUUGCACUAACCUCCUGAUGUCCGACCAGGAUUAGCCAACCUUCGUGCUCCUCCGUUACUCUUUAGGAGGAGACCGCCCCAGUCAAACUACCCACCAGACACUGUCCGCAACCCGGAUCACGGGUCCACGUUAGAACAUCAAACAUUAAAGGGUGGUAUUUCAAGGUCGGCUCCAUGCAGACUGGCGUCCACACUUCAAAGCCUCCCACCUAUCCUACACAUCAAGGCUCAAUGUUCAGUGUCAAGCUAUAGUAAAGGUUCACGGGGUCUUUCCGUCUUGCCGCGGGUACACUGCAUCUUCACAGCGAGUUCAAUUUCACUGAGUCUCGGGUGGAGACAGCCUGGCCAUCAUUACGCCAUUCGUGCAGGUCGGAACUUACCCGACAAGGAAUUUCGCUACCUUAGGACCGUUAUAGUUACGGCCGCCGUUUACCGGGGCUUCGAUCAAGAGCUUCGCUUGCGCUAACCCCAUCAAUUAACCUUCCGGCACCGGGCAGGCGUCACACCGUAUACGUCCACUUUCGUGUUUGCACAGUGCUGUGUUUUUAAUAAACAGUUGCAGCCAGCUGGUAUCUUCGACUGAUUUCAGCUCCACGAGCAAGUCGCUUCACCUACGUAUCAGCGUGCCUUCUCCCGAAGUUACGGCACCAUUUUGCCUAGUUCCUUCACCCGAGUUCUCUCAAGCGCCUUGGUAUUCUCUACCUGACCACCUGUGUCGGUUUGGGGUACGAUUUGAUGUUACCUGAUGCUUAGAGGCUUUUCCUGGAAGCAGGGCAUUUGUUGCUUCAGCACCGUAGUGCCUCGUCAUCACGCCUCGGCCUUGAUUUUCCGGAUUUGCCUGGAAAACCAGCCUACACGCUUAAACCGGGACAACCGUCGCCCGGCCAACAUAGCCUUCUCCGUCCCCCCUUCGCAGUAACACCAAGUACAGGAAUAUUAACCUGUUUCCCAUCGACUACGCCUUUCGGCCUUGCCUUAGGGGUCGACUCACCCUGCCCCGAUUAACGUUGGACAGGAACCCUUGGUCUUCCGGCGAGCGGGCUUUUCACCCACUUUAUCGUUACUUAUGUCAGCAUUCGCACUUCUGAUACCUCCAGCAUACCUCACAGUACACCUUCACAGGCUUACAGAACGCUCCCCUACCCAACAACGCAUAAGCGUCGCUGCCGCAGCUUCGGUGCAUGGUUUAGCCCCGUUACAUCUUCCGCGCAGGCCGACUCGACCAGUGAGCUAUUACGCUUUCUUUAAAUGAUGGCUGCUUCUAAGCCAACAUCCUGGCUGUCUGGGCCUUCCCACAUCGUUUCCCACUUAACCAUGACUUUGGGACCUUAGCUGGCGGUCUGGGUUGUUUCCCUCUUCACGACGGACGUUAGUACCCGCCGUGUGUCUCCCGUGAUAACAUUCUCCGGUAUUCGCAGUUUGCAUCGGGUUGGUAAGUCGGGAUGACCCCCUUGCCGAAACAGUGCUCUACCCCCGGAGAUGAAUUCACGAGGCGCUACCUAAAUAGCUUUCGGGGAGAACCAGCUAUCUCCCGGUUUGAUUGGCCUUUCACCCCCAGCCACAAGUCAUCCGCUAAUUUUUCAACAUUAGUCGGUUCGGUCCUCCAGUUAGUGUUACCCAACCUUCAACCUGCCCAUGGCUAGAUCACCGGGUUUCGGGUCUAUACCCUGCAACUUAACGCCCAGUUAAGACUCGGUUUCCCUUCGGCUCCCCUAUUCGGUUAACCUUGCUACAGAAUAUAAGUCGCUGACCCAUUAUACAAAAGGUACGCAGUCACACGCCUAAGCGUGCUCCCACUGCUUGUACGUACACGGUUUCAGGUUCUUUUUCACUCCCCUCGCCGGGGUUCUUUUCGCCUUUCCCUCACGGUACUGGUUCACUAUCGGUCAGUCAGGAGUAUUUAGCCUUGGAGGAUGGUCCCCCCAUAUUCAGACAGGAUACCACGUGUCCCGCCCUACUCAUCGAGCUCACAGCAUGUGCAUUUUUGUGUACGGGGCUGUCACCCUGUAUCGCGCGCCUUUCCAGACGCUUCCACUAACACACACACUGAUUCAGGCUCUGGGCUGCUCCCCGUUCGCUCGCCGCUACUGGGGGAAUCUCGGUUGAUUUCUUUUCCUCGGGGUACUUAGAUGUUUCAGUUCCCCCGGUUCGCCUCAUUAACCUAUGGAUUCAGUUAAUGAUAGUGUGACGAAUCACACUGGGUUUCCCCAUUCGGAAAUCGCCGGUUAUAACGGUUCAUAUCACCUUACCGACGCUUAUCGCAGAUUAGCACGUCCUUCAUCGCCUCUGACUGCCAGGGCAUCCACCGUGUACGCUUAGUCGCUUAA
rnacentral:rRNA from 1 species